CACUUGGGAUAUGAAGAUUUGGGUUGAAGAUCCUACUGCACUUCCUGCAAAGCCAGAACUUGCAUCUGGACGCCUCCUGUCCCCAGGUAGUGCCUGAACCACUGCUGGACAGCUUUCUCUGUGCUAGAACUGGACAACUCCAGAAGUGCUGGACUGCAGCACCACAUGGAAACCAUAUCACAGCUGGUGGCAGCAAUCAGAGCUGGCUCAUCUCCUUUGGAAACAAGAAACUGCAGCUUCAGUGAGAAAUCUGAACAAUGUCUUCUUUAAACCGCCUGGAGAAAGCAGCAAAUGUCCAGCUCCAACAGGAAUUUACAUGUGUUUGAGCAUCAAAGGUUGAUAUGCCUGCAUCAUCUAGGGACUGCCAUGUUAUCUAAGGGCCCGCAUAUCAGGAGCGCGAUAACAUUGUGUAGUUCACAGCUGUUGCAGGAACUGCAUAUUUUCUGAGUUAACUGAGGCUCGGUUUUAUAUAAACUGUACCUGAUAACAUCUGCCCAGCACCCCUCUUUGAAAAUGUGCAGAGAUCCUGCCCAGCUCACUCCUGCAGCAAGUAGCCUGCAGAACGAAAAUCAAAUCAAAACCAAAAGAAGAGGCAAAAUGCACAUCCUGCGGGGCGCUGGAAAUUCAUCUUUUGGUUUCAUGAUGCCUGUUCCAAGAAAUGGUGCAAAAAUGUUUCGCAGCGAAGGUAGAACAAUGAAGACGUCAAGCGGCUUCUUGGGGGAGAGCUGCUGUGUCUUGUCAUGCUUGGACAUGAACGGGGAAAAAAAUGUCUUUAUUACCCAGAAUGGUAACCUUGAAGUGCACUGGCUGCUUGAUCCUAUAACUUUCCCAUUAGAAGAGGGCGCCCGCAAUCCUAAUGAGGCACAAUAAGCAGAUUAUGAGACUCCCUUUGUUUUGCUAAACAGCAGCUUUUCUGCCCGGAGUAUCACAAAGGUGUGCGGGGGCCUUGUGAAUGGGGCCGCUGUGACUGAUACGCCGAUUUGUUCUGUAGGGCUGAGCAGAAGGAUUGAAGAAGACAGCACUAAUGUUCAGCAGAGCCGUAGGGGGCGGGUGCCGGAGCUGCCUAAAUUAGACUCAUCAGUAUAGAGGCUCUGCCCAUUGUGUCUGGGCUAUAAAGCUGUCAGAGAGGAGCCCAUUUGAAUGUUCCCUCAUUCCUACCCUGGCGCUUCCUCCGCUCUCAGCAGAGAGCUAAGCCCCAGGAUCUUUUGUUUGCAUGAGAAGCCACUGGCAUCUUACAUUUAUAAGGACUUUUAAGGCUCUAGUAUGAAAAAUAACUUUGGCUUGAAAAAUACGGGGGAUUUUGUUGUUGUUGUUGGGUUUCUUUUAAUUGUAUGCACACCAACCAGCGAAUUUGUGUGCUGCUCUGCGAAGUUAUUUUUACAGAGAGAUCAGCAAUCAUUUAAGAUGCAAACAAGAGCACAUCGUUUUACCAGACUGCAAUCUUUCCACCUUGCAUAUUCAUUUAGAUGCCUAGAGGAAGCAAUUGCUGCAGGGGAAAAUUCAGGGACAGAUUCCAGCCUCUGUAAAGGAGCUGGAUCUGGUGGAAAGAUAAGAGGGAAUCAGUGGGAAUAGCAAGAGGGCCCACCACAGGUGAAUUAGGUUUCAUAGCAGUGUUCCUGUAACCAUUCCUGUGCUGGACAAGUGCUGAGAAAAUAUUAGCAGUGGUCUAGCCAACUUGCAGGUUAAAGUACAGCAUUCAAAAUUGCACUCAUAUUUUCUACUGUUUUUGAUUAGGUUUUCCAGCCUUUGAAGAUUGAGGUUGUGGAGCUCCAGGUCAAAUGAGGACCCUAUGAAAGUAAAAAGCCCGCACACCCAGGCAGGAAGUUUCACCACCACAGCCUGCUCAGAUGUUAGAUGGCUGCUUGUCAUUGCUCCGGUUGAACUGGAGAUGUAUGGAGAACCGUUUCUCCUAUUUUACUUUGGCCUCUCCAUGCAAAUCUGGCAACACACAGGGAGAAAAAUACAAAUGUUGGGAAAACAAUUAAAAAUAGUCAUUUUGGGGGAAUCUCUGGAAAGCUCUGCUUUGUGUUGGGACUGUGCUCCUGGUGCAUCUUCAAGAGCAGGCUGCUCAGCCCCAUGAGACUUGUCUGCCUCUUUUCUCUCGUGCAUGGUGGCACAUGCUGGCAAUUUCUCCAUGGUAUAAGCCUUAUGGUACCAGUGCUCAUGGCCUCUGGCAAGUCCAUCUUUGACUUCUCCAGAGCCUUAGGCCCUGCUCAAAAGGUCUGUCAAUGAACAAGGUAAAGUCCUGCCUGUUCAAUGGGGAUGGAGCAUAUUAUGCUAGUACUCAGUAAACUGCACCAAUUCCCUAGUCUCUGGACUUACCCACCCAGAAAGACAGACUGCGCGCAUCUGUGCAAAUCCUAAUUUCACCUCCAAUUCAGCCAAGAACCUGAGUGUCUGGAUACAAGGCAUAUAUAUGGAUUUUCUCCAACUAGAAUGAAACUUUCAUGCAUUUAAAGGGAUUAUUUGCUAGGGAGUUUCACUGCUAAUCCUUG